CUCAAAUCAUGUACCGAAUCUGUGAAUUUAUAAUUUCUUCGGAAAUUAUAUCUGGUAGCGGAACGUUCUGUAAGCCUGUAAAGGGAUACCCGUGAGGGAUCCUGGAGGUAUCAGAAGUGCGAAUGCUGACAUAAGUAACGAUAAAAGAAGUGAAAAACUUCUUCGCCGAAAAUCCAAGGGUUUCUGCGCAAGGUUAAUCCGCGCAGAGUUAGUCGGCACCUAAGGCGAGGGCGAAAGCCGUAGUCGAUGGAAAUAAGGUUAAUAUUCCUUAACCAGAUGGUAGUGACGGAUCUUGUAAGUUGUGUACUCUUAAUGGAUUGAGUAUGCCGCGAAAAGGUUCCAAGAAAUAGCUCCAUCAUUAGACCGUACCCUAAACCGACACAGGUGGAUUAAUAGAGUAUAUUUAGGCGCUUGAGAGAAUGAUGUUGAAGGAACUCGGCAAAAUGCUUCCGUAACUUCGGGAUAAGGAAGACCUGUUUUUAGGCAACUAGAGAUGGGUGGCACAAGCCAGGGAGAAGCGACUGUUUAUCAAAAACACAGGGCUCUGCUAACACGUAAGUGGAUGUAUAGGGUCUGACGCCUGCCCGGUGCUGGAAGGUUAAUGCGGUUGGUGCAAGCUAACUUCUGAAGCCCCAGUAAACGGCGGCCGUAACUAUAACGGUCCUAAGGUAGCGAAAUUCCUUGUCGGGUAAGUUCCGACCUGCACGAAUGGCGUAACGACUUCCCCGCUGUCUCCAACGUAGACUCAGCGAAAUUGAAUUGCCUGUCAAGAUGCAGGCUUCCCGCGGUUAGACGGAAAGACCCCGUGCACCUUUACUACAGCUUCGCACUGGCAUCAGAAUUGUGAUGUGCAGGAUAGGUGGUGGGCUUUGAAACCGGAACGCCAGUUUCGGUGGAGCCUCCCUUGAGAUACCACCCUUCGCACUUUUGAUGUCUAACCGCGGUCCGUUAUCCGGAUCCGGGACCCUGCGUGGCGGGUAGUUUGACUGGGGCGGUCGCCUCCUAAAGAGUAACGGAGGCGCGCGAAGGUUGGCUCAGAGCGGUCGGAAAUCGCUCGUUGAGUGCAAUGGCAGAAGCCAGCCUGACUGCGAGACUGACAAGUCGAGCAGAGUCGAAAGACGGCCAUAGUGAUCCGGUGGUCCCGAGUGGAAGGGCCAUCGCUCAACGGAUAAAAGGUACGCCGGGGAUAACAGGCUGAUACUGCCCAAGAGUCCAUAUCGACGGCAGUGUUUGGCACCUCGAUGUCGGCUCAUCUCAUCCUGGGGCUGGAGCAGGUCCCAAGGGUACGGCUGUUCGCCGUUUAAAGAGGUACGUGAGCUGGGUUUAGAACGUCGUGAGACAGUUCGGUCCCUAUCUGCCGUG
rnacentral:rRNA from 1 species